GAAGCUCAGAGGAGAGAGACAGAGUAGAUGUACAGCGACAGGCGUGACGUCGCCGGAACGAAUCUCUUUCGCUCAAGAUAAGUGAUGGUGAUCUCUCCAGUUGUGCACACAAGGGAGGAGAGAUGGAAUCACGAUGACUUGCAAAGCGACGUACUUUGCAGCGCACCCCGGUGGGGGGGAGCAGAGCACCUAGGUGAGAAGGUGCAGGCACUUCAGGUUUGGAAGUGCAAUCACUUCAGUGGAAGUGGAGUUGCCCGCAGAUGAGGGUAACGUAUCUCGGAUACUGUCUUGUAGAUCUUAU
rnacentral:lncRNA from 1 species